UACAGAGGUCUCAAGCGUUGUUCGGAUUCAUUGGGCGUAAAGGGUGCGUAGGCGGCGCGGUAAGUCGGGUGUGAAAUCUUGGAGCUUAACUCCGAAACUGCAUUCGAUACUGCCGUGCUUGAGGACUGGAGGGGAGACUGGAAUUUACGGUGUAGCGGUGAAAUGCGUAGAUAUCGUAAGGAAGACCAGUGGCGAAGGCGAGGCUCUGGACAGUUCCUGACGCUGAGGCGCGAAGGCCAGGGGAGCAAACGGG
rnacentral:rRNA from 1 species